rnacentral:lncRNA from 1 species
AAACCUCGGGUGAGCCAAUUAAGAACAAAUGGCGCAGUUACAGAAGACAGGAUGCAGACCUCAGUGGACUUGUUCCAGGGAAAAGGAAAGAGGGAUGGAGCAUGGUUUUAUGGCAGCCUUUCCCCAGAAUGAAAUAUACUUGGAGAAAACUGAUUGGAAGGACAUGAUGGCCAUACAAACCUUGUCCUGUAUAUUUUCUAAAAUUAUAUAUC